GCGCGGGAGGCAGAGCCAGUUUGCACGCCAGCGCCCCCUGCCGUUCAGAGGCGCCUUAAUGUCCAUGCACCAGGACCAGCUGUGCAGCCCCCACCAAUGCCAGAGGACCCAGGUCAGCUUACUGACCUUAUGGUGCCUUUCGGGGGUACAAUGAGACCUCCUGAAGUUGUACCCCUACUUCCAAUACCAGAAGAGCAAGUCCCAACAGCUACAAAGAAAUGUGUUAAAGAAAAAAAAAGACCCUACCAAUGAGGAACUGGGAAUAUCGUUCAGCGGGAUAUCUGGGACCCUCUACUGUAGUCUGGCUAUGCAAAUUAUAGUAAGCCUCUGAACUUGACAGAACCUACUAGGCGAUCUGCCUGUGGGUACUUUAAAAGAAUCAUCUUUUCACCCAAGUUCUGAUGAAGCAAAUGGAUGGAAGAGUUCUCAACGGGCCCGGGCCUGAGGCUAAGGCUCCAGACACAAGGCACAGUGUUAAGCAAGUAGCAUCACUCAAUCUUAAACCUGAACUGAGGAGAUACAAUCUAAGAAUCUAGAGUUUGGAAAGUGUCCAGACUGAAUCCACCUAGGAAAUGGAUGCAGGGAAGAACUCCAGGUCUGCGUACCUGACAACUCAGUGCCCUGAUCUCAUUCACAAAGGACACCGCUCCAUGGCAUGUGACCCUUAAGGUUUAAAAUGAAGAGCACAGGAAGACAGCAGAUGGCAUUCUACCACUUCGGUUCAGGUGAGGGUUCUAUAAUGCAAUAGCUACAUUAAAUGACAUAUAAUUGGUUUGGGUUUCUGUAAUACAAUGGAUGUGUCGAUGGGUCAUGUCCAUAUCAUACAGACAGAACCAAGCUACUUCGGACCCUCAUCGACGGGGCAUUAGAUGCUGAAAACUUCCCCUCUGGGGAAUUACAAGAAGCCAAAGAUGCUUAAAUAAACACUGCUGGUGGAGUCAGAGCCUACUCAGCAUUCCUGGCUUUGGAGGAGGGCAGAGGGCUUCCUUAGAUCCAGACCUCUGCAGCAAGGCAUUCAGGCCCGCUGUCUCCCCUCACAUUCUCCAGAGGUGCACUUGCCAGCCAACCUCUGUUUCACACUCCUUCUCAGAGACCUGGUCUAAGUUAAGUUGGGGAAGCAAGACACCCUCCCCGCCACCCACUGAAGCAAGGUUGCUAUGCCCCUCAAUGGCCCAGUGAGACGGCUAAGGGAGACACAGACACUUUUUCUCUUGGUAACUAAGCCAGGAUGACAGGUAGGAUAGAACCAGGAUCUACCCUCAGGGUCUGGAUACUACCCGCCUAAUGGAAAGAUCUGGGGGGUUAUGGGAGUAAAACAGGGAGCAAGGUCUUCUGAGACUCCUUUGAGAAAUCCUCUAGCACGUCGUUUGGAUUGCUGUGUGUUUGUUAGAAGCAUUUUGUUGUGCUGGUGGUGUUUUAUUUAAUCUGUUAUUCUGAUGUGAUUGUAAGUGUGCUACGACUUGGAUUAUUUUGUUUCUUAAACAUGUGGGUAGUUGGGUGUGGCAAGUCGAUCGGCUUUGUGGACAAGCCUAGAAGAGCAGAGUUCAAUUUACCCCAACCCAGGUGUUCUGGUUGCUCCCUGUUAUUGUGGCAGACAUCCUGGCCAGAAGAAAUUUACUUCAGCAAAGGCUUCACUGGACUUGUAUUUCCAGGUCACAGUUCAUCCCAGAGAGAAUAAGAACUCUAGCAGGAGUCAGAAGCAGAAACCAAGGAAGAAUCCCGCUGGCUGCUGCUUCUCUGCCUCGUGCUUUCCUAUGGAGCUGACUUCCUUACAGAUGCAAAACCAGCUCCCUAGGAAUGGCACCAACCAUAUCAAUGAAUAAUGAAGAAGAUUCGCCCAAUAGACAUGCCUACUGGCCAACCCUGUCUGGACAGCAGAGGCUCUUUUGUCAAAUGACUGUAGAUUGUGGAAAUUAAAAAUAUUCAUAACCUCA